rnacentral:rRNA from 1 species
GACACGCUGGCGGCGUGCUUAACACAUGCAAGUCGAACGUGAACCAGAGCUUGCUCUGGGGAUCAGUGGCGAACGGGUGAGUAACACGUGGGCAACCUGCCCCAGACUCUGGGAUAACCUCGGGAAACCGAUGCUAAUACCGGAUACGACCACUUCGGACAUCCGACGGUGGUGGAAAGUUUUUCGGUCUGGGAUGGGCCCGCGGCCUAUCAGCUAGUUGGUGGGGUAAUGGCCUACCAAGGCGACGACGGGUAGCCGGCCUGAGAGGGCGACCGGCCACACUGGAACUGAGACACGGUCCAGACUCCUACGGGAGGCAGCAGUGGGGAAUAUUGCACAAUGGGCGAAAGCCUGAUGCAGCGACGCCGCGUGAGGGACGACGGCCUUCGGGUUGUAAACCUCUUUCAGCAGGGACGAAGCGAAAGUGACUGUACCUGCAGAAGAAGCACCGGCUAACUACGUG